rnacentral:rRNA from 1 species
GACGUAGGGCGCAAGCGUUGUCCGGAUUUAUUGGGCGUAAAGAGCUCGUAGGCGGCUUGUUGCGUCGUCCGUGAAAACCCGUGGCUCAACUGCGGGCUUGCGGACGAUACGGGCAGGCUGGAGUUCGGUAGGGGAGACUGGAAUUCCUGGUGUAGCGGUGAAAUGCGCAGAUAUCAGGAGGAACACCGGUGGCGAAGGCGGCAUCCUGGACCAAUUCUGACGCUGAGGAGCGAAAGCCAGGGGAGCAAACGGG